rnacentral:rRNA from 1 species
UGGCGGCGUGGUUAAGACAUGCAAGUCGAACGAGAGAAUUGCUAGCUUGCUAAUAAUUCUCUAGUGGCGCACGGGUGAGUAACACGUGAGUAACCUGCCCCCGAGAGCGGGAUAGCCCUGGGAAACUGGGAUUAAUACCGCAUAGUAUCGAAAGAUUAAAGCAGCAAUGCGCUUGGGGAUGGGCUCGCGGCCUAUUAGUUAGUUGGUGAGGUAACGGCUCACCAAGGCGAUGACGGGUAGCCGGUCUGAGAGGAUGUCCGGCCACACUGGAACUGAGACACGGUCCAGACACCUACGGGUGGCAGCAGUCGAGAAUCAUUCACAAUGGGGGAAACCCUGAUGGUGUGACGCCGCGUGGGGGAAUGAAGGUCUUCGGAUUGUAAACCCCUGUCAUGUGGGAGCAAAUUAAAAAGAUAGUACCACAAGAGGAAGAGACGGCUAACUCUGUGCCAGCAGCCGCGGUAAUACAGAGGUCUCAAGCGUUGUUCGGAAUCACUGGGCGUAAAGCGUGCGUAGGCUGUUUCGUAAGUCGUGUGUGAAAGGCGCGGGCUCAACCCGCGGACGGCACAUGAUACUGCGAGACUAGAGUAAUGGAGGGGGAACCGGAAUUCACGGUGUAGCA